rnacentral:rRNA from 1 species
GUGGGGAAUCUUCCGCAAUGGACGAAAGUCUGACGGAGCAACGCCGCGUGAGUGAUGAAGGUCUUCGGAUUGUAAAGCUCUGUUAAUCGGGACGAAAGAGCCUAGUGUGAAUAAUGCUAGGAAGUGACGGUACCGGAAUAGAAAGCCACGGCUAACUACGUGCCAGCAGCCGCGGUAAUACGUAGGUGGCAAGCGUUGUCCGGAAUUAUUGGGCGUAAAGCGCGCGCAGGCGGAUCUGCCAGUCUGUCUUAAAAGUUCGGGGCUUAACCCCGUGAUGGGAUGGAAACUGCAGAUCUAGAGUAUCGGAGAGGAAAGUGGAAUUCCUAGUGUAGCGGUGAAAUGCGUAGAUAUUAGGAAGAACACCAGUGGCGAAGGCGACUUUCUGGACGAAAACUGACGCUGAGGCGCGAAAGCCAGGGGAGCGAACGGGAUUAGAUACCCUUGUAGUCC